GACGAACGCUGGCGGCGUGCUUAACACAUGCAAGUCGAACGGAAAGGCCCUGCUUUUGUGGGGUGCUCGAGUGGCGAACGGGUGAGUAACAUGUGAGUAACCUGCCCUUGACUUUGGGAUAACUUCAGGAAACUGGUGCUAAUACCGGAUAGGAGCUCCUGCUGCAUGGUGGGGGUUGGAAAGUUUCGGCGGUUGGGGAUGGACUCGCGGCUUAUCAGCUUGUUGGUGGGGUAGUGGCUUACCAAGGCUUUGACGGGUAGCCGGCCUGAGAGGGUGACCGGCCACAUUGGGACUGAGAUACGGCCCAGACUCCUACGGGAGGCAGCAGUGGGGAAUAUUGCACAAUGGGCGGAAGCCUGAUGCAGAAACGCCGCGUGCGGGAUGACGGCCUUCGGGUUGUAAACCGCUUUCGCCUGUGACGAAGCGUGAGUGACGGUAAUGGGUAAAGAAGCACCGGCUAACUACGUG
rnacentral:rRNA from 1 species